GAUGAACGCUGGCGGCGUGCCUAAUACAUGCAAGUCGAGCGAACAGACGAGGAGCUUGCUCCUCUGACGUUAGCGGCGGACGGGUGAGUAACACGUGGAUAACCUACCUAUAAGACUGGGAUAACUUCGGGAAACCGGAGCUAAUACCGGAUAAUAUAUUGAACCGCAUGGUUCAAUAGUGAAAGACGGUUUUGCUGUCACUUAUAGAUGGAUCCGCGCCGCAUUAGCUAGUUGGUAAGGUAACGGCUUACCAAGGCAACGAUGCGUAGCCGACCUGAGAGGGGUAUCGGCCACACUGGAACGGAGACACGGUCCAGACUCCUACGGGAGGCAGCAGUAGGGAAUCUUCCGCAAUGGGCGAAAGCCUGACGGAGCAACGCCGCGUGAGUGAUGAAGGUCUUCGGAUCGUAAAACUCUGUUAUUAGGGAAGAACAAAUGUGUAAGUAACUAUGCACGUCUUGACGGUACCUAAUCAGAAAGCCACGGCUAACUACGU
rnacentral:rRNA from 1 species